UAGGAUUUCACAGCUGUUUCUCUUGAACCA
rnacentral:piRNA from 1 species